CCUACGGGUGGCAGCAGCAGGGAAUCUUGCGCAAUGGGCGAAAGCCUGACGCAGCGACACCGCGUGAGGGAAGAAUGCUUUCGGGUUGUAAACCUCUUUUGUUAGGGAAGAGAAGGGACUGUACCUGACGAAUAAGCCCCGGCUAACUACGUGCCAGCAGCCGCGGUAAUACGCAGGGGGCGAGCGUUGUCCGGAUUUAUUGGGCGUAAAGGGCGAGUAGGCGGCACGUCAAGUCCCAUGUGAAAUCUCCCGGCUUAACCGGGAGGGGUCAUGGGAAACUGGCGGGCUUGAGGACAGCAGAGGAGAGCGGAAUUCCCGGAGUAGUGGUGAAAUGCGUAGAUACCGGGAGGAACACCAGUGGCGAAAGCGGCUCUCUGGGCUGCCCCUGACGCUGAGGCGCGAAAGCAUGGGGAGCAAACCGGAUUAGAUACCCGGG
rnacentral:rRNA from 1 species